rnacentral:rRNA from 1 species
UACGUAGGGGGCAAGCGUUGUCCGGAUUUAUUGGGCGUAAAGAGCGUGUAGGCGCCAGACAGGUCCGUUGUGAAAACUGGAGGCUCAACCUCCAGACGUCGAUGGAAACCGUCUGGCUAGAGUCCGGAAGAGGAGAGUGGAAUUCCUGGUGUAGCGGUGGAAUGCGCAGAUAUCAGGAAGAACAGCCGGUGGCGAAGGCGGCUCAGCUGGCCCGGUACUGACGCUGAGGUGCGAAAGCGUGGGGAGCAAACAGG